rnacentral:rRNA from 1 species
CCCGCUGAACUUAAGCAUAUCAAUAAGCGGAGGAAAAGAAACUAACAAGGAUUCCCCUAGUAACUGCGAGUGAAGCGGGAAAAGCUCAAAUUUAAAAUGCAUGGCGGUCUCGCGGCCGUGCGAGUUGUAAUCUGGAGAAGCGUCUAUCCGCGUCGGACCGUGUACAAGUCUUCUGGAAGGGAGCGUCGUAGAGGGUGAGAAUCCCGUCUUUGACACGGACAACCGAUGCUUUUGCGAUGCGCUCUCGAAGAGUCGAGUUGUUUGGGAAUGCAGCUCAAAAUGGGUGGUAAAUUCCAUCUAAAGCUAAAUAUUGGCGAGAGACCGAUAGCGAACAAGUACCGUGAGGGAAAGAUGAAAAGCACUUUGGAAAGAGAGUUAAACAGUACGUGAAAUUGUUGAAAGGGAAACGUUUGAAGUCAGUCGCGUCGGCCGAGACUCAACCUCGCUUCUGCUCGGUGCACUUCUCGGAUGACGGGUCAGCAUCAAUUUUGACCGCCGGAUAAAGGUCGCGGGAAUGUGGCAUCCUUCGGGAUGUGUUAUAGACCUCGAUUCGGAUACGGUGAUUGGGAUUGAGGAACUCGGCGCUUUGCGUCCAGGAUGCUGGCAUAAUGGCUUUAAGCGACCCGUCUUGAAACACGG